rnacentral:rRNA from 1 species
AAAAUCUGCCUAUCAGAGGGGGAAUAACAGUGAGAAAUCACUGCUAAUACCGCAUAUGCCAUAGGAAUCGCAUGAUUCUAGUGGGAAAGGAGCAAUCCGCUGAUAGAUGAGCUUGCGUCUGAUUAGCUAGUUGGUGGGGUAAAGGCCUACCAAGGCGACGAUCAGUAGCCGGACUUUUUUUUUUUUUGAGAGGUUGAACGGCCACAUUGGGACUGAGAUACGGCCCAGACUCCUACGGGAGGCAGCAG